GAUGAACGCUGGCGGCGUGCCUAAUACAUGCAAGUCGAGCGAACGGACGAGAAGCUUGCUUCUCUGAUGUUAGCGGCGGACGGGUGAGUAACACGUGGAUAACCUACCUAUAAGACUGGGAUAACUUCGGGAAACCGUAGCUAAUACCGGAUAAUAUUUUGAACCGCAUGGUUCACAAGUGAAAGACGGUCUUGCUGUCACUUAUAGAUGGAUCCGCGCUGCAUUAGCUAGUUGGUAAGGUAACGGCUUACCAAGGCAACGAUGCAUAGCCGACCUGAGAGGGUGAUCGGCCACACUGGAACUGAGACACGGUCCAGACUCCUACGGGAGGCAGCAGUAGGGAAUCUUCCGCAAUGGGCGAAAGCCUGACGGAGCAACGCCGCGUGAGUGAUGAAGGUCUUCGGAUCGUAAAACUCUGUUAUUAGGGAAGAACAUAUGUGUAAGUAACUGUGCACAUCUUGACGGUACCUAAUCAGAAAGCCACGGCUAACUACGUG
rnacentral:rRNA from 1 species